rnacentral:rRNA from 1 species
CCUACGGGCGGCAGCAGUGGGGGAUAUUGCACAAUGGGGGAAACCCUGAUGCAGCGACGCCGCGUGUGGGAAGACGGUCUUCUGGAUUGUAAACCACUGUCCCCAGGGACGAAAAUGACGGUACCUGGGGAGGAAGCUCCGGCUAACUACGUGCCAGCAGCCGCGGUAAUACGUGGGGCGCAAGCGUUGUCCGGAAUUACUGGGUGUAAAGGGAGCGUAGGCGGGGAUGCAAGUUGGGUGUCAAAACUACCGGCUCAACCGAUAGUCGCACUCAAAACUGCAACUCUUGAGUGAAGUAGAGGCAGGCGGAAUUCCUAGUGUAGCGGUGAAAUGCGUAGAUAUUAGGAGGAACACCAGUGGCGAAGGCGGCCUGCUGGGUUUUUACUGACGCUGAGGCGCGAAAGUGUGGGGAGCAAACAGGAUUAGAUACCCCAGUAGUC